AACUUUUUUCUAUAAUAUGUUAUCACUUAGACAAAAAACAGUAAGAAGUAUAAUUGAGCUGAAGUGUUUGAUUUUGCAUAUAAUCUUAUCGUUAGAUCAUCCAAAUUUACUUCAAGUCAAAUUUACAUCCAAAAUAACGAUGAAUACAUAGAAGCCGGUGUAAAAGUAAGUCACAAGAUCUUUUGGUUCUUUUUUUUUUAUAUGUUGGGU
rnacentral:lncRNA from 1 species